rnacentral:rRNA from 1 species
GCUCAGGAUGAACGCUGGCGGCGUGCUUAACACAUGCAAGUCGAGCGAAGCACUUUUGCUGAUUUCUUCGGAUUGAAGCAAUUGUGACUGAGCGGCGGACGGGUGAGUAACGCGUGGGUAACCUGCCUCAUACAGGGGGAUAACAGUUGGAAACGGCUGCUAAUACCGCAUAAGCGCACAGUACCGCAUGGUACCGUGUGAAAAACUCCGGUGGUAUGAGAUGGACCCGCGUCUGAUUAGCUAGUUGGUGGGGUAACGGCCUACCAAGGCGACGAUCAGUAGCCGACCUGAGAGGGUGACCGGCCACAUUGGGACUGAGACACGGCCCAAACUCCUACGGGAGGCAGCAGUA